UCCCCUACGGGGCGCAGCAGUGAGGAAUAUUGGUCAAUGGCCGGAAGGCUGAACCAGCCAAGCCGCGUGAAGGACGAAGGUGCCAAGCAUUGUAAACUUCUUUUGUCAAGGGACAAAAUCAGGCUCGAGAGCCUGACCGAGGGUACUUGAAGAAAAAGCAUCGGCUAACUCCGUGCCAGCAGCCGCGGUAAUACGGAGGAUGCGAGCGUUAUCCGGAUUUAUUGGGUUUAAAGGGAGCGUAGGCCGGUCUUUAAGCGUGCCGUGAAAUUUUGUGGCUCAACCAUGAGAGUGCGGCGCGAACUGGG
rnacentral:rRNA from 1 species